rnacentral:rRNA from 1 species
UACGUAGGGUGCGAGCGUUGUCCGGAAUUAUUGGGCGUAAAGGGCUCGUAGGCGGUUUGUUGCGUCGGGAGUGAAAACAUCCAGCUUAACUGGGUGCUUGCUUUCGAUACGGGCAGACUUGAGGUAUGCAGGGGAGAAUGGAAUUCCUGGUGUAGCGGUGAAAUGCGUAGAUAUCUGGAGGAACACCGGUGGCGAAGGCGACAUCCUGGACCGGUAUUGACGCUGAGGCGCGAAAGCCAGGGGAGCAAACGGG